rnacentral:RNase_P_RNA from 1 species
GGUCGCUGUCGAAAGGCAGAGGAAAGUCCGGACUCCGCAGGGCGGGGGAUCCGCGUGUCAAGCGCGGAAGGCGCGCGGCAAACGCGCGCGAUGGAAAGCGCCACAGAAAACAGGUAGCCGUCGGUUCGGACUAGUCUCCGUCCGGCGGUGAUAGUGAAAAGGCGGGGCAAGAGCCCACCGUGCCGCAUGAAACGGCGGCUGCAAGGCAAGCCCUCCCCGGAGCAAGAUCAAAUAGGGAACCGACCGGCGGCCCGUCGGGUGGCGUUCGUUUUGAAGCGCCUAAGGUUUCGGGUUGAUUGCUCAGAUGAAUGAUCGGAUCUCGCGUUAGCGCAAAACGCUGCGCGGGAGAACAGAAUCCGGCUUAUUCGCCG